rnacentral:rRNA from 1 species
GACGAACGCUGGCGGCGUGCUUAACACAUGCAAGUCGAGCGGUAAGGCCCUUUCGGGGGUACACGAGCGGCGAACGGGUGAGUAACACGUGGGUGACCUGCCCUUAGCUCUGGGAUAAGCCUGGGAAACUGGGUCUAAUACCGGAUAUGACUCCAUGACGCAUGUUGUGGGGUGGAAAGCCUUGUGCGGCUAGGGAUGGGCCCGCGGCCUAUCAGCUUGUUGGUGGGGUGAUGGCCUACCAAGGCGACGACGGGUAGCCGGCCUGAGAGGGCGACCGGCCACACUGGGACUGAGACACGGCCCAGACUCCUACGGGAGGCAGCAGUGGGGAAUCUUGCGCAAUGGGGCGAAAGCCUGACGCAGCGACGCCGCGUGAGGGAUGACGGCCU